GGGGCUGUGGCUUAGCAGGUAAAAGCAGCUGCCCCGCAGUGCCAGCAUCCUAUAUGGGCACAGGUUCAAGUCCUGGCUGCUUCA
rnacentral:tRNA from 1 species